rnacentral:piRNA from 1 species
UUCUAUCUCUUAAGAGUGAUGCUUUUCUUA